AGUGAACGCUGGCGGUAGGCCUAACACAUGCAAGUCGAACGGCAGCACAGUAAGAGCUUGCUCUUACGGGUGGCGAGUGGCGGACGGGUGAGGAAUACAUCGGAAUCUACUUUUUCGUGGGGGAUAACGUAGGGAAACUUACGCUAAUACCGCAUACGACCUACGGGUGAAAGCAGGGGAUCUUCGGACCUUGCGCGAUUGAAUUAGCCGAUGUCGGAUUAGCUAGUUGGCGGGGUAAAGGCCCACCAAGGCGACGAUCCGUAGCUGGUCUGAGAGGAUGAUCAGCCACACUGGAACUGGGACACGGUCCAGACUCCUACGGGAGGCAGCAGUGGGGAAUAUUGGACAAUGGGCGCAAGCCUGAUCCAGCCAUACCGCGUGGGUGAAGAAGGCCUUCGGGUUGUAAAGACCUUUUGUUGGGAAAGAAAAGCAGCAGGUUAAUACCCCGCUGUUCUGACGGUACCCAAAGAAUAAGCACCGGCUAACUUCGUG
rnacentral:rRNA from 1 species